UUCAGAGGAACCUGUUCUAUAAUUGAUAGUCCACGAGUUAAGUUACUUAUUUUAUUAAUUUAUAUAUCGUCGUAAUUUAAAUAUUUUAAUAGAAUUAUAAUAUUUAAGAUUUUUAACUUAAAAAUAAAUCAGAUCAAGGUAUAGUUUAUAAAUAAGAAGAAAUGGGUUACAAUUAAUAAAUUAAUGAUGGAAGAUUAAUUUAAAAUUAAUCUGAAAUUGGAUUUGAGAGUAAUUUAAAUUAAAUUUUUUAAAUGAUUUUAGCUCUAAAAUAAGCACAUAUCGCCCGUCAUUUUCACUAUAAAGUGAAACAAGUCGUAACAGAGUAGGUGUACUGGAAAGUGUACCUAGAAAUACAAAUUAGAGCUUGAUAAAAGUAUUUUAUUUACAUUAAAAAGUUUAUUGUGAAAUUCAAUAUAAUUUGAUAAUAAUUUAUUAUUAAAAUUUAAAAUUUAUAUUUAUUUUAUUAUAAAUUAAUAAUAGUUAAAUUAAAUAAUUUGAAAAAAUUUUAUUUAUUAUAGUUGAUUAGUAUAGUGAUAGAAUUAAUAAUUUAAUUUUAAAGAAUAAUUAAUUUUUAUUCAAACCGGUGUAAGCCAGGUUGGUUUCUAUCUCUAAUUAGUUAAAAUAUUUUAGUACGAAAGGACCAAAUAUUUAAUUAAAAAUUUAUUUUAUGAAAUAAAUUAAUAUGUUAUUUUGGCAGAAUAGUGCAAUAGAUUUAGAAUCUUUAUAUGUAGUUUUACAAAUAAUACUUGUUAAUUAAGGAUUUAAUUUUAAUAUUAAUUUCUAGAUUAAUUUUAAUAUUAUGUGUUAUAGUUAGAGUUGCUUUUUUAACUUUAUUGGAGCGAAAGGUUUUAGGAUAUAUUCAAAUUC
rnacentral:rRNA from 1 species